CCUCUAGACAAAGAGCGCGGAUUUCAGAUAAUUAACUCACAUAAAUCAGAUAGCAUUAACGCGUCGAAGAUUACAAGGAAGCGAAGACAAUUUAAUUUCCUUGGGUUUCCUUUGCAGAGGUUUGCCCCCAAUAGACUUCCCACAAAUGGAGAAAUGCUCAGAAGGUACUACUGGCUUAAUCUCAAUAAAAACACAAGUACCACACAGAUCAACGUCAAAAUUGGCUGCCCAGUUGCUUCUGGUAAGACUUAUUUGCGAUGUUCCAGAUUUGCUGACGGAGUGGGCGGAAAGAACGCCAAGCAGUUAAAUACAAACGUCUGUAUUCUGAGGGAGCUUGUCAAUUUUUAGGAACAAGCUGGGUUUAACGAUACUUUCACUGUGACGAAACAAACUAUAAAGAACAGAAUUACCAAGAAAAUUAAAGAGUAUCACACUCUAAAAAUGCUUAAAACACUAGAUUUGCCUGAGGGCAGCUACAAAAAGAAGGUGGACAGCUUUUUGAAAGAACGAAGUGCGCUUUUUUUCUAUUUAAAAAUCAAACAUUUACGAUUUAA